rnacentral:rRNA from 1 species
GAUGAACGCUAGCUACAGGCUUAACACAUGCAAGUCGAGGGGCAGCAUGGUCUUAGCUUGCUAAGGCCGAUGGCGACCGGCGCACGGGUGAGUAACACGUAUCCAACCUGCCGUCUACUCUUGGACAGCCUCCUGAAAGGAAGAUUAAUACAAGAUGGCAUCAUGAGUCCGCAUGUUCACAUGAUUAAAGGUAUUCCGGUAGACGAUGGGGAUGCGUUCCAUUAGAUAGUAGGCGGGGUAACGGCCCACCUAGUCUUCGAUGGAUAGGGGUUCUGAGAGGAAGGUCCCCCACAUUGGAACUGAGACACGGUCCAAACUCCUACGGGAGGCAGCAGUGAGGAAUAUUGGUCAAUGGGCGAGAGCCUGAACCAGCCAAGUAGCGUGAAGGAUGACUGCCCUAUGGGUUGUAAACUUCUUUUAUAAAGGAAUAAAGUCGGGUAUGGAUACCCGUUUGCAUGUACUUUAUGAAUAAGGAUCGGCUAACUCCGUGCCAGCAGCCGCGGUAAUACGGAGGAUCCGAGCGUUAUCCGGAUUUAUUGGGUUUAAAGGGAGCGUAGAUGGAUGUUUAAGUCAGUUGUGAAAGUUUGCGGCUCAACCGUAAAAUUGCAGUUGAUACUGGAUAUCUUGAGUGCAGUUGAGGCAGGCGGAAUUCGUGGUGUAGCGGUGAAAUGCUUAGAUAUCACGAAGAACUCCGAUUGCGAAGGCAGCCUGCUAAGCUGCAACUGACAUUGAGGCUCGAAAGUGUGGGUAUCAAACAGGAUUAGAUACCCUGGUAGUCCACACGGUAAACGAUGAAUACUCGCUGUUUGCGAUAUACUGCAAGCGGCCAAGCGAAAGCGUUAAGUAUUCCACCUGGGGAGUACGCCGGCAACGGUGAAACUCAAAGGAAUUGACGGGGGCCCGCACAAGCGGAGGAACAUGUGGUUUAAUUCGAUGAUACGCGAGGAACCUUACCCGGGCUUAAAUUGCAGAUGAAUUACGGUGAAAGCCGUAAGCCGCAAGGCAUCUGUGAAGGUGCUGCAUGGUUGUCGUCAGCUCGUGCCGUGAGGUGUCGGCUUAAGUGCCAUAACGAGCGCAACCCUUGUUGUCAGUUACUAACAGGUUCCGCUGAGGACUCUGACAAGACUGCCAUCGUAAGAUGUGAGGAAGGUGGGGAUGACGUCAAAUCAGCACGGCCCUUACGUCCGGGGCUACACACGUGUUACAAUGGGGGGUACAGAGGGCCGCUACCACGCGAGUGGAUGCCAAUCCCCAAAACCUCUCUCAGUUCGGACUGGAGUCUGCAACCCGACUCCACGAAGCUGGAUUCGCUAGUAAUCGCGCAUCAGCCACGGCGCGGUGAAUACGUUCCCGGGCCU